CGGGUGGCUUUGUACUGUCGUGAUUUUAUGCCUGCAAUUGCGGAGGCUUUGGUUAAGGCUUGAGAGCAGUCAGGAGCUGGCUGCUGGAAGUGCCUGCCAGCGCUGCGGGAAUGGGCUGUGCACAUCGUGUGUGCGUGCCUUUCCUCUCUCUUUUUUUUUUUUUCUUUCAUUUUGUUUCAUUGCAGUCAGGUCCUGGGUCACCUUCUGAUGUGAUGUGGUCCAACGAGUCAGAAUGAGAAAUACUGCUACAUGCAGUGAAAUGAUGGGGCAGAAACCCUUUUCUUGCUACAUAACACACCAUAUAUGAUGCCAUUAAAUGUUACACAUAUGCUGUGUUUCACAGAGAAAGUCUGAAGUUUUAUUGGUGAUAUUUCAUGGAGGAAGGGGCUGUCCAAAGGUCCUACAAAUAAAUGUCUUUCAGAAAAAAGCAGAGAGUCUCUUCCAACGCUUUUUGAGAAAAAUGUGCAGGAAGCCAUUGACGAUUAUACUUGUGAAACAGUUUCAUCACUUUCUAGUGGUCAUACAACACCUACAGACUUGAAAAAUUCUUGGUCUGGAAUAAACAGCUAUACUACUGGUUUGUCUACA
ensembl:lncRNA